UUGUAACAUGAGUUUUGACUUUUGACGGUAAAGUGCCGACUGCUGGCCGUGGUUUUUCGUCUGUGAUUAUUAUACAAAUUUUAAUACAAAAAAAUAUCAAUUUGUAGUUUUUGUAUUUUCAGACUUCACGUUCAGUUGCAAUUUCCGACGCGGUACAUUUUUUGAUUUUUUUUUCAUUGCUCUUCAGUUAGUUUCUUGGACCUGCUUUAGUUGGUUAGCUGCUGUAUAAUAUAAUUCAACUAAAAUAUUUACUACGGUAAAAUUUUUUAUUUUAUUGUUUAAUACUGUCUAUUAAUCCAAAUUAGUAGUCACCAUGAAUAGUGAAACACCAGAGAUUCACGGUGAUCAACCUAAUGAGCCUAAUGUCGAAGUAGAACAGACAAAAAAAAAAAGAAAUAGAAAAAGCAAAAAUAAUAUCAAGGCUGAACAAACUACACAAAAUGGAACAGUUGAGGAAACAACAUUACCAUCAACUAUUUCUAUUCAGGAUAUUCAAAAGGCUAUGGAAGUAUUUUCACUUCAACAAAGAGCCGCUAAAACUCCUGAAGAAGCUCUACAUAAACAAUAUCGCUUUUGGUAUACACAACCUGUUCCUAAAAUGGGUGAAGUUGUAAUUAAUAAUGGUCCAAUCGAGGCAGAUAAAACUUCAGAAGAAAUCAGGAAAGAACCAUUUACACUGCCUGAUGGUUUUCAGUGGGACACACUGAGCCUUGACGAUCCAUUUGUUUUAAAAGAGUUGUAUACUUUGUUAAAUGAAAAUUACGUAGAGGAUGAAGAUAGCAUGUUUCGUUUUGAUUAUCAACCUCAUUUUCUAAAAUGGGCCCUCCAGCCACCUGGUUGGCUAAAAGAUUGGCACGUCGGUGUCAGAGUUACAAAAAGUAGUAAACUGGUAGGUUUUAUUAGUGCCAUUCCAGCGCUGCUCAAUGUCUAUAGCAAGUCCCAAAAAAUGGUGGAAAUUAAUUUUUUGUGUGUCCAUAAAAAAUUGCGUAGCAAAAGAGUAGCUCCAGUUCUAAUCAGAGAAAUAACAAGACGUGUGAACCAGAAUGGCAUUUUUCAAGCGGUUUAUACCGCUGGUAUUGUUUUACCAAAACCAAUAGGAUCCUGCAGGUAUUGGCAUCGAUCGUUAAAUCCAAAGAAAUUGAUAGAUGUUAAAUUUUCCCAUUUAAGUCGUAACAUGACAAUGCAAAGAACGUUAAAACUACAUAAGUUACCCGUCACUACAAACACUCAAGGAUUCCGUAAACUUACCGAAAAAGACUUGCCACAGGCUCGGAAAUUACUUGCAAGUUAUCUAAAAUCAUUCGAUAUAACUCCUAUGUUUUCUGAAGCCGAGUUUAAACAUUGGUUUCUACCACAAGAGGGCAUUAUUGAUGCCUACGUUGUUGAGAACAAUAAUAAAAUAACAGAUCUAGUCAGCUUUUAUACACUUCCGUCAACUAUCAUGCAUCAUCCCAAUUACCGAACAUUAAAAGCGGCCUAUUCAUUUUACAAUGUUUCUACAAAAACACCAUGGGUAGAACUAAUGCAAGAUGCUUUAAUAUCGGCAAGGGAUGCAAAUUUUGAUGUGUUCAACGCGUUAGAUUUAAUGGAAAACAAAGAAUUUCUAGAACCGUUAAAAUUCGGUGUCGGCGAUGGCAAUUUGCAAUAUUAUUUGUACAAUUGGAAGUGUCCAGAAUUAAAUAGCAAUAAGAUUGGUUUGAUUCUACAGUAAUUCAAACGAAAUUGGGACACUUAAUUCUUAUUUCGAACACUUUUUUUCAUUACAUCAAAUAAUUUAAUAUUGUUAGAAAAAAAAACAAAAAUAAGCAGUGCAUGAUUGACUUAUCAAACAUAAGGCAGAAAUUCUAUACACAAUAUAUUAUUGUUUUUUCAUGAGAUUAACUCAAUUUUACAAAUUAUAUAUUUAAAGAAUUUCAAUUUUUUUUUCAUAAUAUAGGUUUUGGAAAUGUUUUUCUUAAGUAAUUUAUUGUUUAUGUUACCUAUUACAAAUUUCAGU